rnacentral:rRNA from 1 species
UACGGAGGAUGCGAGCGUUAUCCGGAUUUAUUGGGUCUAAAGGGUGCGUAGGCGGACUGUCAAGUCAGCGGUAAAAUUGAGAGGCUCAACCUCUUCCCGCCGUUGAAACUGGUGGUCUUGAGUGGAUGAGAAGUACGCGGAAUGCGUGGUGUAGCGGUGAAAUGCAUAGAUAUCACGCAGAACUCCGAUUGCGAAGGCAGCGUACCGGCAUCCAACUGACGCUGAGGCACGAAAGCGUGGGGAUCAAACAGG